rnacentral:rRNA from 1 species
UGGGGGAUAUUGCACAAUGGGCGAAAGCCUGAUGCAGCGACGCCGCGUGGGGGAUGAAGGCCUUCGGGUUGUAAACUUCUUUUGCUCUGAACAAGGCGCACCAUGGGGUGUGUUGAGUGUAGGGGUUGAUUAGCGCCGGCUAACUAAGUGCCAGCAGCCGCGGUAAUACGUAGGGCGCGAGCGUUGUCCGGAAUUAUUGGGCGUAAAGGGCUUGUAGGUGGCUGGUUGCGUCUGUCGUGAAAGCUCAUGGCUUAACUGUGGGUUUGCGGUGGGUACGGGCUGGCUUGAGUGCAGUAGGGGAGGCUGGAAUUCCUGGUGUAGCGGUGGAAUGCGCAGAUAUCAGGAGGAAUACCGGUGGCGAAGGCGGGUCUCUGGGCUGUUACUGACACUGAGGAGCGAAAGCAUGGGGAGCGAACAGG